ACAGUCGUGCAGUUUAAAAAAGUAGAAUUCAAAUAAACCUUUUUAUCAAAAAGGAUGACACACAAUGUAUAUAAGUUGGGUUGGUAUGCGUAUACCUAUAUAUCUUAUAUAUUAGUGUAAAAGUUUACGUAGGCACACGGGUACGUAUAUAAUAUUUAUGUGCGUGUGAUGAACACGACGACCACAACAUAUUGAAGUCGUCGGAAAGUCGAACCGUCGCUGAGCGCAUUUUAUCGUGACUAAACGACUGUGGAAUUUGAACGCAUUAAGAUUGUAAUUAUACUCUUCGACAACGGUUUUGUUGUCAAAUGUCAAUAGUCGAUAGUACGAUUAAUGAUCAGAAAUGUCUUCCAAAACUCCCUUCUACAAUUAUCUAAGCGGAGUUUUCAAAAAACAGGAAAUACCAUUCUCGUGAGUCACGACGCUGUGUCAUCCGAACUCUACUGAUUAUCUUUUAAUUGCAUAGCAAAUGCGCAGUAAAACCAGUCCAGCACAGCAGUUCGAUUCAACAAUUAUUGCCGAUUUUACUCUACAGUCGAACGUUACUCGCAGACAUAUAUAUAUAUCAUUCACAGACCUAUUCGUUUUGAUUGAUACAAAUAAUGGCGAAACCUCUUCAUAGUUCUGCAGUCCGAAGCUCUUCUAGAGGUUCGACAAUACGAUUAAUAAAAUUAAUCAAUGAACAGUUUUGGAAAUGUAAUAGGUGCAAACAGACCUUGUAUACCGAGUCUGAGGCUAGGACUCACGCUCGCCAUAUGUGUAAGACAUAUAUUCUAGUGGACAAGGUCCUAAAUAGAACAUAUUUGUGCAAGGAAUGCGGCAUUUUUUUUUACAACGAAUGGUCUUGGUCCGAUCACGAGGCAUCUCAUCUUGCCAACUGGACAUUGUAAAUUAUUGCAUAAUUAUAGAUUUUAGUAAAUAUGUACCUUUUAUUAUUCGAACAAUGGAGAGAAUGCCAUUCAGUUAUCCAAGGAAGCUCAAAUACUGGACAAACUAUAAAUAUUUAUUAUUAUUUAUUAAUGUAAUUUAUAUCAUUAUCAUGUCAUAAAAAAUACAACCUUAUUAUAAAUAUAAU